rnacentral:rRNA from 1 species
AGAGUUUGAUCCUGGCUCAGAUUGAACGCUGGCGGCAUGCCUUACACAUGCAAGUCGAACGGUAACAGGUCUUCGGAUGCUGACGAGUGGCGAACGGGUGAGUAAUGUAUCGGAACGUGCCCAGUCGUGGGGGAUAACUGCUCGAAAGAGCAGCUAAUACCGCAUACGACCUGAGGGUGAAAGCGGGGGAUCGCAAGACCUCGCGCGAUUGGAGCGGCCGAUAUCAGAUUAGCUUGUUGGUGGGGUAAAAGCCUACCAAGGCGACGAUCUGUAGCUGGUCUGAGAGGACGACCAGCCACACUGGGACUGAGACACGGCCCAGACUCCUACGGGAGGCAGCAGUGGGGAAUAUUGCACAAUGGGCGCAAGCCUGAUGCAGCCAUGCCGCGUGAGGGAUGACGGCCUUCGGGUUGUAAACCUCUUUCAGCAGGGAAGAAGCGAAAGUGACGGUACCUGCAGAAAAAGCACCGGCUAACUACGUGCCAGCAGCCGCGGUAAUACGUAGGGUGCAAGCGUUAUCCGGAAUUAUUGGGCGUAAAGAGCUCGUAGGCGGUUUGUCGCGUCUGCUGUGAAAACCCGAGGCUCAACCUCGGGCCUGCAGUGGGUACGGGCAGACUAGAGUGCGGUAGGGGAGAUUGGAAUUCCUGGUGUAGCGGUGGAAUGCGCAGAUAUCAGGAGGAACACCGAUGGCGAAGGCAGAUCUCUGGGCCGUAACUGACGCUGAGGAGCGAAAGGGUGGGGAGCAAACAGGCUUAGAUACCCUGGUAGUCCACCCCGUAAACGUUGGGAACUAGUUGUGGGGUCCUUUCCACGGAUUCCGUGACGCAGCUAACGCAUUAAGUUCCCCGCCUGGGGAGUACGGCCGCAAGGUUAAAACUCAAAUGAAUUGACGGGGGCCCGCACAAGCGGUGGAGCAUGUGGUUUAAUUCGAUGCAACGCGAAGAACCUUACCUGGUCUUGACAUACACCGGAAACGUCCAGAGAUGGGCGCCCCCUUGUGGUCGGUGUACAGGUGGUGCAUGGCUGUCGUCAGCUCGUGUCGUGAGAUGUUGGGUUAAGUCCCGCAACGAGCGCAACCCUUGUCCUGUGUUGCCAGCGUGCCCUUCGGGGUGACGGGGACUCACAGGAGACCGCCGGGGUCAACUCGGAGGAAGGUGGGGACGACGUCAAGUCAUCAUGCCCCUUAUGUCUUGGGCUGCACACGUGCUACAAUGGCCGGUACAAUGAGCUGCGAUACCGUGAGGUGGAGCGAAUCUCAAAAAGCCGGUCUCAGUUCGGAUUGGGGUCUGCAACUCGACCCCAUGAAGUCGGAGUUGCUAGUAAUCGCAGAUCAGCAUUGCUGCGGUGAAUACGUUCCCGGGCCUUGUACACACCGCCCGUCACGUCACGAAAGUCGGUAACACCCGAAGCCGGUGGCCCAACCCCUUGUGGGAGGGCGCUUGCCACGGUGUGGCCGAUGACUGGGGUGAAGUCGAAACAAGGUAGCCGUACCGGAAGGUGCGGCUG